rnacentral:rRNA from 1 species
GCAUAACGCGAAGAACCUUACCAGGUCUUGACAUCCCUCUGUAAGCUCUAGAGAUAGGGCCCUCCUUCGGGACAGAGGAGACAGGUGGUGCAUGGUUGUCGUCAGCUCGUGUCGUGAGAUGUUGGGUUAAGUCCCGCAACGAGCGCAACCCUUGAUCUUAGUUGCCAGCACUUCGGGUGGGCACUCUAGGAUGACUGCCGGUGACAAACCGGAGGAAGGUGGGGAUGACGUCAAAUCAUCAUGCCCCUUAUGACCUGGGCUACACACGUACUACAAUGGUCGGUACAACGGGAAGCGAAGCCGCGAGGUGGAGCCAAUCCUUAUAAGCCGAUCUCAGUUCGGAUUGCAGGCUGCAACUCGCCUGCAUGAAGUCGGAAUUGCUAGUAAUCGCGGAUCAGCAUGCCGCGGUGAAUACGUUCCCGGGUCUUGUACACACCG